rnacentral:rRNA from 1 species
GAUGAACGCUGGCGGCGUGCUUAACACAUGCAAGUCGAGCGAAGCACCUACUUUGGAUUUCUUCGGAAUGACGAGGUUUGUGACUGAGCGGCGGACGGGUGAGUAACGCGUGGGCAACCUGCCUCACACAGGGGGAUAACAGUUAGAAAUGACUGCUAAUACCGCAUAAGACCACGAAACCGCAUGGUUUUGAGGUAAAAACUCCGGUGGUGUGAGAUGGGCCCGCGUCUGAUUAGGUAGUUGGUGCGGUAACGGCGCACCAAGCCGACGAUCAGUAGCCGACCUGAGAGGGUGACCGGCCACAUUGGGACUGAGACACGGCCCAAACUCCUACGGGAGGCAGCAGUGGGGAAUAUUGCACAAUGGGGGAAACCCUGAUGCAGCGACGCCGCGUGAAGGAUGAAGUAUUUCGGUAUGUAAACUUCUAUCAGCAGGGAAGAAAAUGACGG